rnacentral:rRNA from 1 species
UGCAUGCCUAACACAUGCAAGUCGAACGAAAAAGGUCUUCGGGCCUUUUUAGUGGCAAACGGGCGAGUAACACAUAUUUAACUUGCUCAUCCGAGGAGAAUAGCAGCCCGAAAGGGCUAUUAAUACGCCAUAGUUUUAAAUUAGUGAAUUAAUUUAAAUUAAAGGAGGCUGCCGAAAGGUGGCCUCGCGGAUGAAUAGGAAUAUGUCCUAUUAGGUCGUUGGAGAGGUAAUGGCUCACCAAGCCGAUGAUGGGUAGCUGGACUGAGAGGUUGAACAGCCGCAAUGGGAUUGAGAAAUGGCCCAUAUUCCUACGGGAAGCAGCAGUGAGGAAUUUUUCACAAUGGACGAAAGUCUGAUGGAGCAAUACCACGUGAACGAUGAAGGUCUUCUGAUUGUAAAGUUCUUUUAUUUAGGAAAAAAAGCGCGGCAGGAAAUGGCCGCGCCUUGAUUGUACUAAUUGAAUAAGUGACAGCUAACUAUGUGCCAGCAGCUGCGGUAAAACAUAGGUCACGAGCAUUAUCCGGAUUUAUUGGGCGUAAAGGAAGCGUAGGCUGAAAUGUGUAUUCAUUGUUAAAAAUAUUUGCUUAACAAGUGUUCGCGGUGAAGAUUACAUUUCUAGAAUUAGUUAGAGGGUACUGGAAUUCAAUGUGUAAUGGUGGAAUACGUAGAUAUAUUGAGGAACACCAGAGGCUAAGGCGAGUGCCUGGAACAUAAUUGACGCUGAGGCUUGAAAGCGUGGGUAGCAAAUGGGAUUAGAUACCCCAGUAGUCCACGCCGUAAACGAUGGGUAUUAGUCAUUUGGAUUUAAGACUGAGUGAUGUAGCUAACGCGUUAAAUACCCCGCCUGGGUAGUAUAUAUGCAAAUAUGAAACUCAAAGAAAUUGACGGGGACCUGAACAA